AUCCAGAUGACUAGUCCCAAUAUAGGACGAGACGUGAGUCCUGGAU
rnacentral:hammerhead_ribozyme from 1 species